AACGACUCUCGACAACGGAUAUCUCGGCUCUCGCAUCGAUGAAGAACGUAGCGAAAUGCGAUACUUGGUGUGAAUUGCAGAAUCCCGUGAACCAUCGAGUCUUUGAACGCAAGUUGCGCCCGAAGCCACUAGGCUAAGGGCACGUCUGCCUGGGUGUCACGC
rnacentral:rRNA from 1 species